AUGUGUGUCUUUGCAUAUUAUAUUAGAAUGCCAACAAACUUGCAAACUUUCGAAUCAUACUCCCCGCAAAAAAUAUCUGAUCAUAUUAUAAUCUACAUAGAUCUUUGUGUGAUUUUCCUGAAGUCAUCAUCUAUUGUUGUGACAAAACCAUCUAUAUUUUUUGUAGGACCAUCGCGGCGUCUUCUCCCACCUUGCCGGACAGCUGUCGUCGUCUUCCUCCGCCUCGCCAGACCACCCCCACCUCAACCUCGUCUUCUUCCACCCAAGGUUGAUGAGGUUAUCCUCCUCACCAAGCAAUCUCCCUCCCUCCAUCACCCUUGUGUAUGUGUUCUUGGAUCCUGA
rnacentral:rRNA from 1 species